rfam:Cavia porcellus supercont2_0 genomic scaffold, whole genome shotgun sequence.
GGGGAUUUAGCUCAGCGGCAUAAGCGCCUGCCUUGCAAGCAGGCAGUCGUGAGUUCGAUACCCGUGGUACCGA